GCUCUUGUCACCGGUCAUAUGCCUUGAGCAACCGCUAUCAAAAUACCACAUUCUCUUUUUACUUCCGGCUGCAAGGCAUACCUGCAAAAUAAUCAUGUGAAGCUCUUAGGUACCCAAGUUUUCUUGGGUCCUUCUUGGUUAGUGUAGUUGGUUCCCUUAGGCACCCAUACUUUAGUUGUGUUUUUACCUUUUACAAAUGUAUUCUUGUUAGUUUGAAUCUUUCUUUGAAUGCAAGAAUAGACUUUAUGUCCACUUUUUCCACAAUGAAAGCAUGUAGGUUUUUCAGUUUUGACAUCUUUUGCUUUCACAAAGAAAUUCUUUAGAUACUUUUGUUGUUUGCUAGUUUUAUAUCCUAAUUCGGCUUUAUUAAAAACAGCUCUUUGAUUGGAUAGAAUAAGAUUUAAUUUUUCAGAGCUUUGUGUAAAUUUUUCCACAAUUGGUUUGUACUUAUGUACCUCAUUUUUAAGAAUAAAAUUUUCU
rnacentral:lncRNA from 1 species